AACGAACGCUGGCGGCAGGCCUAACACAUGCAAGUCGAACGCUCCGCAAGGGGAGUGGCGCACGGGUGAGUAACACGUGGGAACCUACCUUCUGGUACGGAACAACCAAGGGAAACUUUGGCUAAGACCGUAUACGACCUCCGGGUGAAAGAUUGAUCGCCGGAAGAGGGGCCCGCGUCCGAUUAGGUAGUUGGUGAGGUAACGGCUCACCAAGCCUUCGAUCGGUAGCUGGUCUGAGAGGAUGACCAGCCACACUGGGACUGAGACACGGCCCAGACUCCUACGGAGGCAGCAGUGGGAAUAUUGGACAAUGGGCGCAAGCCUGAUCCAGCCAUGCCGCGUGAGUGAUGAA
rnacentral:rRNA from 1 species